UACGUAGGGGGCAAGCGUUGUCCGGAUUUAUUGGGCGUAAAGAGCGUGUAGGCGGCCUGAAAGGUCAGCUGUGAAAACUCGAGGCUCAACCUCGAGACGUCGGUUGAAACCAUCUGGCUAGAGUCCGGAAGAGGAGUGUGGAAUUCCCGGUGUAGCGGUGAAAUGCGCAGAUAUCGGGAAGAACACCCGUGGCGAAGGCGGCCACCUGGACUGAUACUGACACUGAGGCGCGAAAGCGUGGGGAGCGAACAGG
rnacentral:rRNA from 1 species